rnacentral:rRNA from 1 species
UACGUAGGGGGCUAGCGUUGUCCGGAAUCAUUGGGCGUAAAGCGCGUGUAGGCGGUCCGGUAAGUCCGCUGUGAAAGUCGGGGGCUCAACCCUCGGAUGCCGGUGGAUACUGUCGGGCUUGAGUACGGAAGAGGAGAGUGGAAUUCCUGGUGUAGCGGUGAAAUGCGCAGAUAUCAGGAAGAACACCAAUGGCGAAGGCAGCUCUCUGGGACGGUACUGACGCUGAGACGCGAAAGCGUGGGGAGCGAACAGG